CAUUUAUUUGUUUGCCUUCAACAGCAAAGAUUUUCUUGUAACAGAGAAAAGAGGAAAUAAUGAGAAGAGAAGGCUAAAUAUAAACCUAAAUACUGAUGUAUCUAUAUGUUGCUUGCAGUGAAGAUAUGGGGAAACAUCUCCUUGUGAAUUUGCUCUGUGAUCAUGCUGGUGAUCACUUGCCUCAGAUCUCUGCUGCUCUCUGUACACAGCUCUUUAGGGCUGUGUGGUUUAGAUUCAAAGCAUUGCUCCCUCGCCAUGCGGGCAUGCGAAAUGAAACUCCACAUCCUUAUAGCAUCCACAGCUCAUGUCCCUGACUCAGAGCCACUUCGGACUGAAAGAAAAUUAAGAAGUUUGAGGAGACGCAGGAAGACAGCCUUUGCUUCACUACCUGCAACUCUGCUGGUGCAGCGGUGUUCAGCAGCCCUGGGGAGCUGCAAAGGGAAAAGUCAUUCAUCUAGUUCUGAUCACAGGAGAAGCAGGAUGUUCUUGUGUGACCAAGAGGUAUAG
rnacentral:lncRNA from 1 species